GACAAUCCUGAAGAUGGCGCCGUUGUUCCUCUGGGGUGAGUUGAGCACAACCCAGCUGCAUGGGUUCCUCCCGGACUGCAGGGGGCGUGGGUGAAGCAGGAGGGAGUCUGCUGCCAGAGGGGUGCCACCUCUGGAGUAGUUGUAAACCUGACAAUGGCCCUGGCACAGGUCAAUAGUUGCUCAUGCUGCCUCUGGACGAAUAUCUUGCAAAGCGUGUUAGUGAAGAGGUCUAAUGAGUAGCACAUGGGGGAGAUUUGGGCCCACUCAGCCAUUGGCCAGGCUUCAGCUCGACCACUCAGCAGCAUCUUAUCGUAUAGGAAGAGGUGCCUCUGCAUGGGCUUAAACCUGGCCAGAUCCUUCACCUGAAAUCAGAGAGUGACCUUUGGAAAUCAGGAGACAGUGUAACAGACUUUUCCAACAUCUUGUGGAGUCCAUGCCAAGAAGAACUGAGGCUGUUUUGAGACCAAACAGAGAACCU